rnacentral:rRNA from 1 species
UACGGAGGGUGGCAAGCGUUGUCCGGAAUCACUGGGCGUAAAGGGCGCGUAGGCGGCUCAUGAAGGCUGUGGUGAAUCCGGGGCUCAACCUCGGAUCGGCCGUGGCGACUCGUGGGCUGGAGCACUGUAGAGGCGGGUGGAAUUCCGGGUGUAGCGGUGGAAAUGCGUAGAGAUCCGGAAGAACACCAGUGGCGAAGGCGCCCGCUGGGCAGUGGCUGACGCUGAGGCGCGACAGCGUGGGGGAGCAAACGA